rnacentral:lncRNA from 1 species
CAAAAGGCUCCAUCGAAUCGGCCCAAUGCGCUGGGGCUGUGCUGCACUAUAGCUGCUUUACGCGUUUCAGUGGCCCCACCUGUGCCGACAGAGCCGGGCGAAGUUUUACCCCUGCAGCCCGGCUCAAUCACGGCAGAUCGCGGGCUCAGGGCGUGCACAGCACCCGCUCCCCGGAUAGCGACGAAGGCCCUGUCUCCGGCCACAGGAGCAUUCACAACAGCCCGGGCUGCAAGGAGGCCACAUCAUCUUCUGGAGCCGUCUCCUGUGCGCCGAGCCGUGUUCCACCCCCUCAAAUGCAAUGAAAGGGAAUCACACAGCCCAACGACACCGCGGCAUUGCACCUUGACCACCAGGCCUGCAGCUGGGGAGCAGGAGCAGGCAGGAGAAGGAGAAGGAGGAAAGGAGAAAGAAGAAGGAAGGUUACACCAACGGCAGACAGAAGACCUAGAGACAGAGAGAAAAAGAAAGAACAAGAACAGUACAAAAUAACAUCGAGUAAAACAUUGACCCAGCAGCAGCACAGACAUCCGUUUUACAUCUGAGGAGGGAAAUCCAAGCAAAGGAACCAACAAAGACCCUUCUGUUCCUCCACAGCUCACAAAAGAGUGUGAGCUCUUCAGACGGCCGGUAGAAACUGUGUUGGUACUGUACUGUAUGUCCAGAGACCGGGGCAGCAUACUCCUGUUUUACUAACGCACAUCCUCCGAGGUGUGAGCUGAGCAGUGGGAGCGCUGCUUUCUUGCCUUUAUAAAUUACAGCCCAGAAAGGCUCGAUUUUAAAUUAUUCUUUUUUUAACGUGUAUCUUAGCAAAACAUUGUGGACUGCCUUUCAGAAUCUAUUUUUAAUUACAAUGUAAAAAAGCUAUGGCCUGUUGAGUUACAUCUUAAAUUAAAAAUUGAACUCCGUGAUAUCCCCACUUCUUUCAAAGAGGUAGGAGAAAUGUAUACACGUUCACCACCCCAUAAGCAGCAGAGAACAGGUAUGAAUAUGUACAUGAACCAAUUGCAACUUUGUUCUGUUUUCUGAUUCAUUUUCUUUAAAAAAAUAAAAAUAAUUCGUGGUUCCUGAG